GACGAACGCUGGCGGCGUGCUUAACACAUGCAAGUCGAACGGAAAGGCCCUGCUUUUGUGGGGUGCUCGAGUGGCGAACGGGUGAGUAGCACGUGAGUAACCUGCCCUUGACUUUGGGAUAACUUCAGGAAACUGGGGCUAAUACCGGAUAGGAGCUCCUGCUGCAUGGUGGGGGUUGGAAAGUUUCGGCGGUUGGGGAUGGACUCGCGGCUUAUCAGCUUGUUGGUGGGGUAGUGGCUUACCAAGGCUUUGACGGGUAGCCGGCCUGAGAGGGUGACCGGCCACAUUGGGACUGAGAUACGGCCCAGACUCCUACGGGAGGCAGCAGGGGGGAAUAUGGCACAAUGGGCGGAAGCCUGAUGCAGCAACGCCGCGUGCGGGAUGACGGCCUUCGGGUUGUAAACCGCUUACGCCUGUGACGAAGCGUGAGUGACGGUAAUGGGUAAAGAAGCACCGGCUAACUACGUG
rnacentral:rRNA from 1 species